GAAAGCUCAAAACUAAAUAAGACACAACUUUUAUCCUCAAAUAGCUUAUAGCUCCAGUAGAGAAUAUGUAUAUAAAUCAAAGUUCAAACCAGUGUGGCAGUUUUACAACAUGGCCCCCAAUUUUUUUGAUACUUCUCCCACUGAGAGGUGGGGUCUAUACCACCACAUCUUGAAUCUGGAUGGACUUGCAACUACCUCAGCCAUGCAAGUAUGAGGAAAGAGAAACUGUGUCAUAGAAGACGGUGCAGCUUCUGCCAAGUUCUUUUGGAAUGCUUGCUGGAAUGCUUGCUCUUCUGGAAGGCUCCCUCUCAGGACCCAGCUGCCACGCUGUGAGAAGUCCAAGCCACAGGAAAACUCCAGAUCAUGCAGCAUAAGUGAAAGCUGACUACAGACUGAAGUUCUCAUCAUGAAAUCGUGCUGCAUUUUCCUCAGAAAAUGAAGUAUGGAAGCUGCAAUGAUACCUGUAAACUAUCGAGAGAAAACAGACAAAAACAGGGCUUUGUCCUUGAUCGGCUAAAUAAUUCAAAAUAAAGACUCCUUUUCACCUGAAGUAGUGGGGCUAAUUAGAGCCUAAAAUAGGUUUGGCUUCAGUUAUCUAGAUAAUCUACUUGUUUGUUUAUUUAGUCUGAAAUUAGAAGCUUAAAAAUGAAUCAACUUUCAAGUGAAAACAAAAAGACUUUGAAAACUAUCUUCCAAAAGAGUUUGAAUUUAAAAUGACCUCUUUGGGUGGCCUAUUUGUAAAUAUACUAAAUAAAUAUUGGUCUUAUUUACUUUAGAUUUGCACAUCAAAACUUAGAAAUAUUAGUAAAUUCAAGAGCACCUUCCUAACCUACCUAUCGCAAAUUCACUUUCUUGACCAAUUUCACACAAACGCACAUACACAUGUGCCCCAUCCUUCUGCACCUUGGUCCCGUUCUCAGGCAAGUACUAAGAACAACCCGUGCUAUGUAGGACUAUGAGUCUCCAUUUUGUCUGGACAUUAGGAUCACAUGGGGAGCCAACACUCAGGAUACACUAAACACCAAUUAAAUCCAAGUCUCUACAACUGGGACCCAAGCAGCAUGUUUGUAAAACUCCCCAGGUGAAUCCAAUCUACAGUCAAGGUUGAGAGCCACUGUUUUAAGAGUUGGAUAAUUUUCCUACAAAGCAGCCUGGAAAAGACAGAUCAAAAGCACCCAACUCUUGGGGCCAGCUCCAAUGAACAUAUUCAGUAUUUCAAGAGAUGGGCAGCAAUACAUAUAGUUAAGUAGAAAUUGCUAGGCAAAAAUUGUCAUAUAUAGAAGGCACUUGAACUGAGAUGAAAUAUACAAAUGAUGAGAGGAGACGGCAGCCUUUGUCUCUGGACAUAGACGUACUUUAAGUGAAGAUACGCACAGCUGUGUACCUGGACUCAGAGGUUCUGAGAGGAGGGCGCAAUGGUUCCUUGAGAGAAGAAAAGUCGAAAGAAAAGUGAGAGAGAGGAUGAGAGAGCUAAUAAACGUGUUGGAGAAACAGCAACUCUAGUCUACAGGAUA
rnacentral:lncRNA from 1 species